rnacentral:rRNA from 1 species
GCGGGACUUACUGAUGCUUAUUGCACCACAUGUGUUGUUCUUUGAAACAGACUUGCUUUGGCGGUGGGCCCAGCCUGCCGCCAGAGGUCUAAACUUACAACCAAUUUUUUAUCAGCUUGUCACACCAGAUUAUUACUAAUAGUCAAAACUUUCAACAACGGAUCUCUUGGUUCUCGCAUCGAUGAAGAACGCAGCGAAAUGCGAUACGUAAUAUGAAUUGCAGAUAUUCGUGAAUCAUCGAAUCUUUGAACGCACAUUGCGCCCUCUGGUAUUCCGGAGGGCAUGCCUGUUUGAGCGUCGUUUCUCCCUCAAACCGCUGGGUUUGGUGUUGAGCAAUACGACUUGGGUUUGCUUGAAAGACGGUAGUGGUAAGGCGGGAUCGCUUUGACAAUGGCUUAGGUCUAACCAAAAACAUUGCUUGCGGCGGUAACGUCCACCACGUAUAUCUUCAAACUUUGACCUCAAAUCAGGUAGGACUACCCGCUGAACUUAAGCAUAUCAAUAAGGAAAAGAAACCAACCA